GGUCUCACUUUGUCCUCCAGGAUGGAGUGCUGCGGCCUCAACCUCCUGGGUUCAAGGGAUCCUGCUGCCUCAGCCCCCCAAGUAGCUAGGACUACAAGGGUGCACCACCACACCCAGCUAAUUUUUGUAUUUUUUGUAUAAAUGGGGUUUCGCCAUGUUGCCCAGACUGGUCUCAAACUCCUGGGCUCAAAAUCUGCGUGCCAUGGCUUCUCAAAACGCUAGGAUUACUGGCGUGAGUCACCAUGCCUGGCCUAUAAUUUGUUAAUAUGGUUGUUACUACAAAGUUUAAAAUAAAUUGCCCAUGCAUUCCUAUUUAUAAUAGGUGAGUGGAGGACACUUCAAUCUAAAGUGAUCUUAAAGGAGGAGUAGUAGGAUUUGAAGAUGAAGAAAGAAGAGGGGAGGUAAAUUACUUUCCAUCACUUCAAUUUCAACCCAUCAGAUAAACCCUCUCUUUAGUAAACCCGCAUGUGGGUGGAGCUGUAACAGCAAUUAAGGACAGUGUGACUCUGUUCUUCUGACUUUGGGAAAACCAGUUUGGUUGGAACAAAAAGCUGAUAGAGAAGACUAAUGGAAGAUAAGGUUGAAAAGGAAACGGGUCAUGAUCCAGACCCCAGGAGAGGGUUCUUGGAUCUCACACAAGAAAGAAUUCAGGGUGACCCCACAGUGCAAAAGUCAAAGCAAGUAUUAAGAAAAUGAAGGAAUAACAGAAUGGCUACUACAUAGACAGAGCAGCCCUGAGGGCUGCUGGUUGCCCUUUUUUUUUUUUUUUUCCUUUGAGAUGGAGUUUUCGUUCUUGUUGCCCAGGCUGGAGUGCAAUGGCGUGAUCUCGGCUCACCACAACCUCCACCUCCCGGGUUCAAGCAAUUCUGCCUCAGCCUCCCGAGUAGCUGAGAUUACAGGCAUGCGCCACCACGCCCGGCUAAUUUUGUGUUUUUAGUAGAGUCAGGGUUUCUCCAUGUUGGUCAGGUUGGUCUUGAACUUCCGACCUCAGUUGAUCUGCCCGCCUUGGCCUCCCAAAGUACUGGGAUUACAGGCAUAAGCCACCGCACCUGGCCUGCUUGCCCAUUCUUUAUGGUCGUUUCUUGAUGAUAUGCUAACCAAGGAGUGGAUUAAUCAUGCCUCCCCUUUUUAGACCACAUAGGGUCUAAACUGUCAUGGCACAUUUGUAAACUGUCAUGGCACUGGUGGGAGUGUAGCAGUGAGGACGACCAGAGGUCAUUCUCAUCGCCAUUUUGGUUUUGGUGGGUUUUGGCCAGCUCCUUUACUGCAACCUGUUUUAUCAGCAAGGUCUUUAUGACCUGUAUUUUGUGCUGACUUCCUAUCUCAUCCUGUGACUUAGAAUGCCUUAACUGACCAUCUGGGAAUGCAGCCCAAUAGAUUUCACCCUCAUUUUGCCCAACUCCUGUUUAAGAUGGAGUUGCUCUGGUUCACAUGCCUCUAACAAAUCCUUUUAGUUUUUCAUGCUUGUCACAUGUUUACUUCUAAGGGUAUAAUCAUGUGGUUUACUAUAUUAUUACUGAUUAGAUUAUUUUGAACUACUUCAAUUUUAUUUAUUUUACCUCAUUUCCAUUCACAUUUUUUGAAAAGAGCUUUUUUAUACAAGAGUGUAAAUAUUUUCACAUUGAAUAAAUGAAUUGAAAACAGUA